rnacentral:rRNA from 1 species
GAUGAACGCUAGCUACAGGCUUAACACAUGCAAGUCGAGGGGCAGCAUGGAAGAAGCUUGCUUCUUCUGAUGGCGACCGGCGCACGGGUGCGUAACGCGUAUCAAACCUGCCUCAUACUCGGGGAUAGCCUUGCGAAAGUAAGAUUAAUACCCGAUGUUGUUAUGUUGCCGCAUGGUGAUAUAACCAAAGAUUUAUCGGUAUGAGAUGGUGAUGCGUCCGAUUAGGUAGUAGGCGGGGUAACGGCCCACCUAGCCUUCGAUCGGUAGGGGUUCUGAGAGGAAGGUCCCCCACACUGGAACUGAGACACGGUCCAGACUCCUACGGGAGGCAGCAGUGAGGAAUAUUGGUCAAUGGACGAAAGUCUGAACCAGCCAAGUAGCGUGCAGGAUGACGGCCCUCUGGGUUGUAAACUGCUUUUAGUUGGGAAUAAAAAAGAGGACGUGUCCUCUAUUGUAUGUACCUUCAGAAAAAGGACCGGCUAAUUCCGUGCCAGCAGCCGCGGUAAUACGGAAGGUCCAGGCGUUAUCCGGAUUUAUUGGGUUUAAAGGGAGCGUAGGCGGAUUAUUAAGUCAGUGGUGAAAGACGGUGGCUCAACCAUCGUUAGCCAUUGAAACUGGUAGUCUUGAGUGCAGACAGGGAUGCUGGAACUCGUGGUGUAGCGGUGAAAUGCUUAGAUAUCACGAUGAACUCCGAUCGCGAAGGCAGGUGUCCGGGCUGCAACUGACGCUGAGGCUCGAAAGUGUGGGUAUCAAACAGG